UACAGAGGUGGCAAGCGUUGUUCGGAAUUACUGGGCGUAAAGGGCGAGUAGGUGGCCAUCUAAGUCAGACGUGAAAUCCCUCGGCUUAACCGGGGAACUGCGUCUGAUACUGGAUGGCUUGAGUCCGGGAGAGGGAUGCGGAAUUCCAGGUGUAGCGGUGAAAUGCGUAGAUAUCUGGAGGAACACCGGUGGCGAAGGCGGCAUCCUGGACCGGCACUGACGCUGAUGAGCGAAAGCCAGGGGAGCAAACGGG
rnacentral:rRNA from 1 species